rnacentral:rRNA from 1 species
GUGCAGCAGUCGCGAAAACUUCACACUGUGCGAAAGCACGAUGAGGGAAUCCCAAGUGCUUGCACGUAAGUGUAAGCUGUUUCUCUGUCUAAAACGCAGAGAGAGUAAGGGCUGGGUAAGACGGGUGCCAGCCGCCGCGGUAAUACCUGCAGCUCAAGUGGUGACCGUUAUUAUUGGGCCUAAAACGUCCGUAGCCGGUUUAAUAAAUGCCUGGGUAAAUUGUGUAGCUUAACUAUACGAAUUCCGGGUAGACUGUUAAACUUGAGACCGGGAGAAGUUAGAGGUACUCCUGGGGUAGAGGUGAAAUUCUGUAAUCCUAGGGGGACCACCAGUGGCGAAGGCGUCCAACUAGAACGGGUCUGACGGUGAGGGACGAAGCCCUGGGGCGCAAACGGGGAUUAGAUA